AUGCCAACGUGCCUCCUCCCCCUCUUCCUCCUCCUCGCCUCGUGGCCACCGACGGCGAGAGUUGACGCUGCCUCCACGGUGAGCCCGCUGAAACCAAUUUGCAACCUGACCGCCCGCACGUACACGGCAGACAGCAGCUACGGGUCCAACCUGCAGGAUCUCGGAGUGACCUUGGCCAGGGAUGCCGGUGCGUCAGGCUUCGCCAAGGGCAGCUCCGGCGAGGCGCCCGACAAGGUCUACGGCGAAGUGCUCUGCCGCGGCGACUACACCGGCACCAAGUGCAGCAACGGCCUCACAGCCGCCUUCCAGGACGUGGACGUGCUCUGCCCGACCAGGAGUGCCGUCGUCUACUACGACCAGUACAUGAUCCGCUUCACUGACGAUGAGCAGUCCCUCUCGAACACUAGCAACGAGCCGGAAUGGGUCGCGAGUAAUAUGAACUCCGUUUUGGGUAUAGAGGCGGCGCUGCGGUUGAUGGAGAGGGUGGUGACCCUGAUGAACAAAAUGGCCGACCUGGCCACUUCCAGCUCCAGCUCCAGGUCGUACGCGACCGGCGAGGUUGGUUUCGCUGAGCAGGGCAUGAGUACUGUGUACGGGAUGCUGCAGUGCACGCUGGACCUCACCGGGCCACAGUGCAAGAGCUGCCUUGGCGACAUCAUCAGGCAGAUAGUGAAGCUGUUCAGCAAUAUCACCGACCAUCAGGCCCAGAUCGGUGGGAGGAUUAUUGGAGUACGCUGUAAUCUGCGAUUCGAGAAGGAAUUGUUCUUCGAGGAGGACACUAUCAAGAUCGACAUGCCGAAAAAUGGAAUGAGCGGGGUGCUUAAGAUUGUCAUAUUUGGAGUUCCUCUUGUAGUUCUGCUCAUAUUAGGAUUGCUUCUAAGGCCAUGCAUUGUGAAGAAAGUCCGAGAAUUAUUAUUGCAUAGGGAUCUAGUCAUCCUUGAAAAGGAAAUUGUAAGUGAAAGCGACUCGAGGUUUUCACUAUUCAGAUAUUCCAAGAUAAGAAGUGCUACUGAUAACUUUUCAAAAGAGAAUAAACUUGGAGAAGGUGGAUUUGGUCAUGUUUACAAGGGUCGGUUGACUCGUGAUCAGGACAUAGCGGUCAAACGACUUUCUCCGAAUUCAGUUCAAGGAUUCCGUGAGUUCAUGAAUGAAAUCAAACUCAUAGCCAGCCUCCAGCACAAGAAUCUGGUCAGGCUUCUUGGAUGCUGCAUCAAAGGCAAGGAGAGGAUACUUGUAUAUGAAUUUUUGCCAAGUGGUAGCUUGGAAGAGUUCAUUUUUGGGGCAGGAGCAAAGCAGAGCUGGCCCUUGCGUCGCCACAUAAUUGAAGGAAUAACAGAAGGCCUUGUCUACAUGCAUGACUACCCGCAUGAGUGCAUAGUCCACAGAGACUUGAAACCAAGCAACAUCCUAUUAGAUCAUGAAAUGAAUCCAAAAAUUUCUGACUUUGGGAUCGCAAGGAUAUGCCUCUCCAACGUGACGGAAUCAAAUACAACGACAGCUAUGGGAACAUUUGGAUACAUCGCGCCGGAAUAUUGCUCCCAGAGUGUGUACUCAACAAGGUCAGACGUUUUCAGCUUCGGCAUCCUAGUUCUCGAGAUCAUAAGUGGGAAGAGGGCCAUCGGUUCCUACCAAUUAUCUGGAAGAUCAUACGAACUCAGGAAAUAUGCAUGGCAACUGUGGAGAGAGCAGAGGUGCGACGAGCUGGUGGAUGAUUCGCUAGGCGAGGAGUACCCUGAAAUGGACGUUAUGAGGUGCAUCCAGAUCGCGCUCUUGUGCGUCCAAGAUGUCGCGGAGGACAGGCCUACCAUGCACGACGUCACGACGAUGCUGGGCAACGGAAACAAGAGGCUGCUCCGGCCUGCGCAGCCUGGUUCUUGCAGUAUACACAUCUUCACCGAUGCUGAAAUAGAGGUGUGA
rnacentral:rRNA from 1 species